ensembl:misc_RNA 7SK 7SK RNA
GGAUGUAAGGGCAACUUGUCUGUGACAUCUGUCUCCUCCUUGAUCUCCAGAUUUAAUUCAGCUGUAUCUAUCUGGCUAGGCAGAUAGAUCACCUCUCCAUCUGCAUGUCUCUCAAAGUUGUCGCAGAGUCAAAGAGGAGACUUUACAUCUAAAGACUGUCCUGUCUUCUGGUACAGAGUACCUGAGUUGCUGUACUUUCCUACUACAGCAUCCAAACAAGUUCUAAAGAAUUAAAUGGAAGUCAGCCACAUGGGACACAAAUAAAACUGUACCUAAGCUGAGGAUUUUUU